rnacentral:rRNA from 1 species
GACGAACGCUGGCGGCGUGCCUAAUACAUGCAAGUUGAGCGCUGAAGGUUGGUACUUGUACCGACUGGAUGAGCAGCGAACGGGUGAGUAACGCGUGGGGAAUCUGCCUUUGAGCGGGGGACAACAUUUGGAAACGAAUGCUAAUACCGCAUAAAAACUUUAAACACAAGUUUUAAGUUUGAAAGAUGCAAUUGCAUCACUCAAAGAUGAUCCCGCGUUGUAUUAGCUAGUUGGUGAGGUAAAGGCUCACCAAGGCGAUGAUACAUAGCCGACCUGAGAGGGUGAUCGGCCAAAUUGGGACUGAGACACGGCCCAAACUCCUACGGGAGGCAGCAGUAGGGAAUCUUCGGCGAUGGACGAAAGUCUGACCGAUCAACGCCGCGUGAGUGAGGAAGGUUUUCGGAUCGUAAAACUCUGUUGGUAGAGAAGAACGUUGGUGAGAGUGGAAAGCUCAUCAAGUGACGGUAACUACCCAGAAAGGGACGGCUAACUACGUGCCAGCCGCCGCAGUAA